rnacentral:lncRNA from 1 species
GGGGAAGACAGACCGCUGGUGGAGGGCAGUGCUGAAAAGGAGCCUCCGGAAGAGAGGGCCUUCUCCUGCUUCUCUCCUCCUUCUCUCCAUGCUGGGGGGAUACUGGCAGGAGGACGCCGGCUUGCAUAACGUCAUCCUGUGGCCUCCAAACCCUGAGCCCCCACAGAGGACUUCAUCAGCUCAGACGCCAAGGUCCACACAGCCACCGGGGAACAGUCAGAAUAUAAAAAGGAAGCAGCAGGACAUGCCCGGAAGCCCUGACCACAGAGACGCAUCCAGGUAGGAGGCCGGCUCUGGAGGACCGAUGCAGCCCAAGGCCUGCCCUGCUCAUUGCCUGCUCCAGCAUUA